rnacentral:lncRNA from 1 species
GCUCCUACUACCACACCAGCGCCGGCGACGGCGUAUCGCCGUGCGGGCCGGUGCUCGACCAGGUCAAGGUGCAGCCAUUGAUGAGGAAAGCUUAGCUUAAUUACUAGCUACUGCAUGGAUUAAUCAGUUAAUUGUGUGUGUUCAGCUGCUCGUAAUCUUGCUUGCAUGCGUUUGCGUUGGCUGAUGUUUAAUUUGUGUUUUUUUAAAAAUAUAUUUUUUUUACUUUUUUCUGAGGUGAAAAUCUGUGGUUUUCAAUGUUGUGAUUAGGAAUUAAAAGGAGUGCAAAUGUGCAAUGUAGCAGGAUUUGGCUACGGGAUUAUUGAUCUUGAAU